rnacentral:lncRNA from 1 species
GUACGUACAGUCCUUCCUGUUUAGCUUAUGCCAGGAAAUAAAUCGGAUUGGAGGCCACGCCCUGCCGAAGGUGACACUGCAGGAGAUGCUGAAAAGCUGCAUGGUUCAAGUAGUCACUGCCUAUGAGACACUUGCAGCAGAAAAGCAGGUGAAGAAAGAAGGCACAUUCCCACUGACCCAGAACUGGGCGCUGCAGCUCCUCUAUGACCUGCGCUACCUCAGCAUUGUCCUCACUACCAAGGAGGAGAUGAAGAGUGGCCACAGCAAGCCAGACUCCAGGUACUGGAUCUCUUCUGGACUCUCCAACAUGGUCUCUUCCCAGUGCAGAGAUGCUCCCUGCCCAUGAGGGCUCUUCUCGUGAUUUUUCAACAUGAAUAUGGUGGGCAAUCAGUAAGCAUUCAGGAGAAACUGCCCUUCACAUUUUGCAGUGAGGGCUUUUCGUGGGCUGGGUGAUAUGCACUGUGAUGCUCUAUCAAAAUGCUGGUCAGGGUCAGGAGGCCACAGCUCCAGGGCAGCCCUGCAGUCGUCAGGGGAAACCACCCUCCCUCCACAGCAGAUGCUGGUGCCAGGCUGUGGUGACCAGGUUUAGUGUAGAGUACUUUCAGUUUACAGUGGUUUGUUGGGACAUGACCCAUCAUAAACCAAUGAGCACUGUAC